AUCAGAUUCAGAUAUUAUCUAGAUAACGAACAGACUAUUUCGGGCUCCCUCAUAGAUAAAGUAUAAAGGCUGUCUUCAACAACAAAUUUUGAAGGGGCAGUGAGAAGGAGGAGUAAGCUUAAAGUCGCACAUGACAUCAGAUAUGAAUUUGGGGACGGUGCAGAAGCGAGUUCGAACAAUGAAUCAUGAUGAAGUUGAGGCUGAGCCCAAUGUUACCUGAGGGAGGCACAGCUUUGGUGCAAGUUAUGCUCAUCAUAUAACAUUAUUACCAGCCAGAUCUGCAGGAUAAUCUUUUCAAUUAUAGAACUGCUAGAAACAGUAACAUAUCCAUAGGAGAAAACAGGG